rnacentral:rRNA from 1 species
AUUGAACGCUGGCGGCAGGCCUAACACAUGCAAGUCGAACGAGUGGCGGACGGGUGAGUAAUGUAUGGGAACCUGCCUGAUGGAGGGGGAUAACUACUGGAAACGGUAGCUAAUACCGCAUACCAUCGGAUGUGCCGAGAUGGGAUUAGCUAGUUGGUGUGGUAACGGCGCACCAAGGCCACGAUGCAUAGCCGACCUGAGAGGAUGACCAGCCAAACUGGAACUGAGACACGGUCCAGACUCCUACGGGAGGCAGCAGUGGGGAAUAUUGCACAAUGGGCGCAAGCCUGAUGCAGCCAUGCCGCGUGUAUGAAGAAGGCCUUCGGGUUGUAAAGUACUUUCAGCGGGGAGGCGGUACCCGCAGAAGAAGCACCGGCUAACUACGUGCCAGCAGCCGCGGUAAUAC